rnacentral:rRNA from 1 species
CGGUCGAUCCUGCCGGAAUCCGACGCUCUCCCCAAGGACACAAGCCAUGCAUGCCCGCGCACCCGGGAGGCGGCGGACGGCUCAGGACAACGGUUGCACCCCCCGCGGCGGUCCCUGCUAGCCGGACACCGCUGGCAACCCGGCGCCAAGACGUGCGCGCAAGGGCGGGCGCCCGCGGGCGAGCAGCGUGACGCAGCGACGGCCCGCCCGGGCUUCCGGGGCAUCACCCGGUCGGCGCGGUCGCGGCGCGCCGAGGGCCCGACGCCUGGCGGAG